rnacentral:lncRNA from 10 species
GGCUUGGCUGAAUAGAAAAUGAACCCACCAGCCUCAUCGGAAGCAAAUCAGAGUUUCCCUUUUGCAAACAGAAUAGAGAGAAUCGGGAAGACUGUGGACCACAUGUCUCCAGUUCCAUUUUCCUGAGCUUACACCUUUCAAUAAGCCCACUCCACCCUGGGGUAGAGGAAGAAGGCUGGGUCAAUUCACAAGCUCUUGUGCUUCAUUUGAGCCAGAAGACACCACUGAACAGAUCAUGGUUUCAGUACCUACACUGGCUGUUUUUCAUUCAAGGUGCAAGAGUGGUUCCAAAAGCUAUGCAAGGGAUUACUUUUUGCCAAACUAAUUAUCACAAUUAUUGAGAAAUAUGACAAAGACCUAAAAGUAUCAAACAUUGCCUACAUUUGAUAGGCUUUGAAUAAAAGAUAAGUUAAUUUCAACAGGCUGUGAUUAAAACUGUCCAUAAUAAUAAUAAUGAUAAAACAAUUGUCAUAUGUUGAGAUUAAUAAAUGUUACACAAAAUGUUUCAAAUGUAUUUUAUCUUCUACAGUCUAUAAGAUGGACACUAUAAUUUUCCCCAUUUUAUAUUUGAGGUUUAGGCCAUUGUUAAAGCUUUCCCAGAGUUAUAUAUCUGAUAUGGCAGAGCCAGGGCCUUCAGGAGAGACGCUGGAAUACCUUUGUUGAAAAUUAAGCUAGACUCUAGUAGUUCUCAGUUGAAUUAAUUGGGAACAAUUUACCAAGUAAUGAAUAAUUGGUACAAAACUGUAAGUAAUAAAAUGCUGAAUAGUGAAAAAGAGAUUCUGAAGUCCUAGAGAGAUCAGCAAAAAAGCAAAUCCAAAGCAGAAGGCUCGCAGUAGAAGGUGCAAUGUGAGCUGUGCUUUGAAACGGCUCUGAUGGUACAAAAAGAGGAACAAAGACAGAGACAGCAGGAUGGAAGGGAUUGGAAGGUUA